rnacentral:rRNA from 1 species
UUACGGGAAACCGGAGCUAAUACCGGAUAAUAUAUUGAACCGCAUGGUUCAAUAGUGAAAGACGGUUUUGCUGUCACUUAUAGAUGGAUCCGCGCCGCAUUAGCUAGUUGGUAAGGUAACGGCUUACCAAGGCAACGAUGCGUAGCCGACCUGAGAGGGUGAUCGGCCACACUGGAACUGAGACACGGUCCAG